rnacentral:rRNA from 1 species
UACGUAGGGCGCAAGCGUUGUCCGGAAUCAUUGGGCGUAAAGCGCGUGUAGGCGGCUCGAUAAGUCUGCUGUGAAAGUCCAGGGCUCAACCCUGGGAUGCCGGUGGAUACUGUCGAGCUCGAGUCCGGAAGAGGCGAGUGGAAUUCCUGGUGUAGCGGUGAAAUGCGCAGAUAUCAGGAGGAACACCAAUGGCGAAGGCAGCUCGCUGGGACGGUACUGACGCUGAGACGCGAAAGCGUGGGGAGCAAACAGG